AUCCAGUUGACGAGUCCUAAAUAGGACGAAACGGCCGUUUAGUAC
rnacentral:hammerhead_ribozyme from 1 species